GAUGAAGAACGCAGCGAAAUGCGAUAAGUAAUGUGAAUUGCAGAAUUCAGUGAAUCAUCGAAUCUUUGAACGCACAUUGCGCCCAUUAGUAUUCUAGUGGGCAUGGCUGUUCGAGCGUCAUUUCAACCCUUAAGCCUCUGUUGCUUAGCGUUGGGAGCCUACCUACCCGGUAGAUCCUCAAAGUUAGCUGGCAGGGUCGAGGUUCGCCCUAAGCGUAGUAGUUCUUUCUCGCUUCUGCGGCUGCCUAGGCCAUCGCCACAAGCCUUUUAAACUUCAAUGGUUGACCUCGGAUCAGGUAGGAAUACCCGCUGAACUUAAGCAUAUCAAUAAGCGGAGGA
rnacentral:misc_RNA from 1 species